rnacentral:misc_RNA from 1 species
ACGGAGGGGUUAUCGUUUCGAUUACGAGCAAUGCAAGUGCGAGCGGUACAAGAAGAGCUUCCGCUCCUCACUCGAAGGCCUGUGGCACAAAGGGAAGUCGAUGCAGCAGCGCCGAGGCCAGAUGUCUUCCUCUUCCUUUUUUUUUGGAGAUGCAUGUGAGAGGUGGGCGCAACCCACUCACAUGCAUGUAUUAUCUUGCGACUGUGCGCGUGCGGCUGCCCCAUCCGGUGUGCUUUGUUCGCUUGCCAAGCGAGGUCGUCCCGACCACGAAACGGCCGAAUAUAUGCGGUACAGGUAGGUUACGUGAACGCAUCGGACGCGAUCUGUCCUUGCAUCUUGACCCCUUUUCAUGCUUGACCCUUCCCCCUGCCCCCUCGCGAGCAUUGAGACUUUGGGGCUUUGCGCGGGCUUGACACACGGAUACACACACACACACACACACACACAUGCACACACGCAUGCCCCAUCCGACCUGGAGCGUGCAUCCACACAUGCGCGGCAG